rnacentral:rRNA from 1 species
CACUCCUACGGGAGGCAGCAGUGGGGAAUAUUGCACAAUGGGCGCAAGCCUGAUGCAGCCAUGCCGCGUGUAUGAAGAAGGCCUUCGGGUUGUAAAGUACUUUCAGCGGGGAGGAAGGCGAUAAGGUUAAUAACCUUGUCGAUUGACGUUACCCGCAGAAGAAGCACCGGCUAACUCCGUGCCAGCAGCCGCGGUAAUACGGAGGGUGCAAGCGUUAAUCGGAAUUACUGGGCGUAAAGCGCACGCAGGCGGUCCGUCAAGUCGGAUGUGAAAUCCCCGGGCUCAACCUGGGAACUGCAUUCGAAACUGGCAGGCUAGAGUCUUGUAGAGGGGGGUAGAAUUCCAGGUGUAGCGGUGAAAUGCGUAGAGAUCUGGAGGAAUACCGGUGGCGAAGGCGGCCCCCUGGACAAAGACUGACGCUCAGGUGCGAAAGCGUGGGGAGCAAACAGGAUUAGAUACCCCGGUAGUCCCA